GUGCCCAUAGAUUAGUGGUUAGAUCAGUUCGUUGUGGCCGAACAGACCCGCGUUCGAAUCGCGGUGGGCACA
rnacentral:tRNA from 1 species